UAUCUCAGUGGCUCUCAACCUGAGAAUCUCUUUGAACUUUGAAAAAAAGCCUUCCUGUCCAUUUUCUACCUCACUGUCCCAUCCCACAGUUGGGUGUGCCCUCUGUGGUGCAGCGGGUUAAGGAUUGGUGUUAGCUUUGUGGGGUGUGGGUUCUGUCCCCAGCCUGGCACAGUGGGUGCAUUCAGUGUGGCUGCAGCUGUGUCAUGGGCUGCAGCCGUGGCUUGGAUUUGACCCCUGGCUCAGGAACUUCCUUAUGCUGUGUGUGCAGCCAAAAAAAAAAAAAAAAAAAAAAAAAUGCUUACAGUUUUCCUCAGCACCAAGUACUCAGGAUUCUGGCCCUUUUAAUUUUGUGUCCUCUGCUCCACAUAUCUAGAGGGUUGGUUCUUAUUUUAGGGGUUUCGCCCUCAGGAAAUGCUUCUCUUAUUCCAUUAGAAUUUUUAGGCCCUCUGUCACACAUGCUAUCUACUCUAUACACACAUUCCCAAAUGUCACUUAUAUUAUACAACCAGGCAAACACUGGUGUGAGAGUAACAGGAAUGCUCAUGUUUAAAUGCCUCUUCUACAUGAUUUGCUGUUCCUUAAGAACUCAUAUGCGUCCCUAAGUUACCUAGCACAUAAUCGAUUGUAAAGCAAAGUGUGUUGAAUAAUAAAUGUGACAUUACGUGAGAAACAGAGCACAAGAGAAGAUAAUCAUGGGGAUGAGAAGAAUGGUAAUGAGUAUCUAAAAUCCUCUGAGUUUCUUUUCCUCUGGUUCCUGUUCUAAGUUAGCCUAAAACCCAGCAAGCCAAGCAACCCCUUAAAGGACACUUUGACACCAGCCAUAGAGGUGGGAUUAAGAUAAUAUCGUGCUAGUGUCUUCUCCCUCCUGCUCUGGCUUCCCCCACCCAGAUGAUGUCACAUCCAUUCAACUAAGGAGGACCAUGUUGAGCACAUGUCCAUCAUAGUUCCUUAUCUGUUUCCUGAUACUAUUAUUAAAAGUGCCUCUUUCUACUUUCAAAAGUGUCCUCAUUUGGUUGACAAAGUAUAUAUACCCUAAUAGUUCAAAUUGAACUAGGCAGUUGAAAAAUACAUUUCCUAUAUUGACAAACUCUUGUUAAUGUCAGAGGGUACAAAUGUAAAUAUUGUGAAUACACACACAUUAACCUUCCAUCUAAAAUAGAAAAUGAGUAGUUUUUGUGUACGUAGAAUGUUCUUUUCCUUUUUCUGGUUUUUCAUGGUGACAGUGAUGGUGAUGAACAUAUUAUCAGAAGAAAAUUUGAUGAAUCAGAAAUUCCCUUUAUUUUUUCAAUUUCUCAUUUUAAAACUAGUGUUUUAAAAUUAGUAGUGUUAUGGCUAUGCACAUUGAGUAUUUUGAUUUAUAUUUAUUAUAGUUUAUAUUUAAUUCAUAGCUAGGAGUUCCCCUGUGAUGUAGUGGAUUAGGGAUCCAGUGUUGUCACUGCAGCAGCUUGGGUCAUUGCUGUGUCACAGGUUUGAUCCCUGGCCUAGAAACUUCCACAUGCUGUGGGUGUGACCAAAAAACCCUGUAAUUUAUAACUGUAUGAGUUUAACAGGAGUAUUAUAACAGGGGCUUUUAAGGCACUCUUCAUGAUUUAUCAAAAAUUUAGAAUAUAUAUUUUAAAUUAUAUAAAGGCCAGAUGAGGAUAAGCUGGUAAAGACAUGGUCAGGACAAGAAAGAAAAAUGUAAUUGUUUCUUAAGGGUUUGGUUUACUAAAGCUAAAAGCAUUAUUGUUUUUAGUUUUAGUAUUUGUUAAUAUUUACUGAAGCCUAGCUUGGCUAUUUUAAUAAAGAUACUUUUUUCUCUUUGGAAUGCAAGGGGAGGAAUUAAUGGUUAAGGUUAAAUCUGGGUGAGCUCAGGGUAGAGCGACAGUUUGAGCCCCAGGCCAACUUUGGUCUUUGAAGUUCAGAAUGAGUGACCAUGGCAAGAUCUAGUCAUAUGGUAGCAGGAAAUUACAGAACAUCUUUUUAAAUUACGGAGAUGGUUUUGGGUGCGUCAGUGGUGUAGUCGUGAAAACAAACAGUAGAAGCAGGAUCAGCAGUGGUCAUUGGAGCCAACAUUUAUGAUGCACUAACUUUGUGUCAGGAAUGAGGCUCAGUAUUCAUAUGAAAUGUUUUAAUUAAUCCUCACAACAGUGUUAUGAUAUGUGCCUACCCUUAACUCCAUUUUGCAAAUGAGGAAACCUAGAAUCAAUCAGUGGUGGAGCCUGCAGAGGAAUACCUGUCUGUCUGACUCCUGAGCUCAGGCUUUUAGUUAGUGAUGAGCUGUACCUCAAACAAAACAGUGAGUGUCAGAGCAGCUACCACUUUUUGAGUGCAGACUAUGUGCCUAGUGCUCUAAAAUGGUGUUUAAUCCUCCUAGUACAUAUAUAGUACUUCAGUUUUCCCCAGAAGAAAUGAAGGCUCAGAGUACUUGAAUUAGUUUCCACUUGUGCUAAUUACCACAAUGUUAAUGGUUUAAAACAUCACAAAUGUAUUCUCUUCCAGUACUGAAGUUAGGAGUCCUGAAAUCAAGGUUUCAGCAGAGCUACAUUCCUCAAAUCUUUGCUUCCAUCAUUCCAUCUUCAUAUUUGACUUUGACCUUCCUGCUUUCCUCUUAUGAGGACCCUUGUAAUCACAGUGGGCCUAGAUGGAUAGUCCAAGCUAAUCUCUCUAUCUCAAGAUCCUUAAUUUAACCUAAUCUACAAAGUCCCUUUUAUUAUCUAAAGUGACGUAUUCACAGAUUCCGGGGACAAGAAGUUAGACAUCUUUGAAGGAGUCAUUUUUAGCCUAAUUUCCCCCAGAUCUCAGAGUUGAUAACUGUUAGAGAUGAUGAAUUCCUGGUGUAGCUCAGUGGGUUAAGACCCUGAUAUGGUGUCUGUGAGGAUGCAGUUUGAUUCCUGGCCUUGUUCAGUGGGUUAAGGAUCCAGUGCUGCUGCAUGCUGUGGUGUAGAUUGCAGAUGCAGACUCAGAUCAGGUGAGGGUGUGGCAGUGACAUAGGCUGGCAGCUGCAGCUCCAAUUUGACCCCAGCCCAGGAGCUUCCAUAUUUUGCCGGAGUGGCCACAAAAAGAAAAAAAAAAGUAUUAGAGAUGAGAUUUGGACUUAGAUGUUCUAGGCUCUAAUGUUUACACUGUUUCUGCUCUACUACAUUAGUGAGGAUCCCAUCAGUCAUUCAAAGAAAUAUUUUUUUGAGAUUAUUAAGUGUCAGACACUGUGGUGAAGGUACUGGAAAAAUAUGAAAUGCUUUAUGAGUUUGAGUCAUCUUUAUAUAAGUGCCUUAUUAAUCUUUGUUUUUUUUCUUUAAAACUUUUUAUAAAAGUAAUAGUUUUAUUUACCCAAUAUAUCUAAAAUGUUAUUUUAACAGGCAAUCAGUAUAGAAAUAUUUUACAUUUUUUAUACUAUAUCUUUAAAAUCUAUGUUUUGAUUUCAGAUGCUACUACAAAGCUAUAGUAAUCAAAACAGCAGGGCACUGGCACAAAAGCAGACAUUCUGAACAGAAUAGAAGGCCCAGAAAUAAACCCCAUACCUAUGGUUAAUUAAUCUUUGACAAAGGGGGCAAAAAUAUAAAAUGGAGAAAAGACAGUCUCUUCAGCAAGUGGUGUUGGGAAAGCUGGACAGUUGCAUGUCAAACAAUGAAGUCAGAAUACAACUUCAGAGCAUACACAGAAAUAACUCAAAAUGACUUAAAGACUUAAAUAUAAGAAAUGACACCAUAAAACUCUUAGAAGAGAACAUAGGCAAAACAUUCUCUGACAUAAAUUGUACCAGUAUUUUCUUAGGUCAGUCUCCUAAGGCAAUAGAAAUAAAAGCAAAAAUAAACAAAUGAGACCUAAUCAAACUUAUAAGCUUUUGUACAGCAAAGGAAACCGUAAACAAAAUAAGACAACCUACAGACUGGGAGAAAAUAUUUGCAAAUGAUACAGCUGAUGAAGGUUCAACUUCCAAAAUACACAAAUACCUCAUUCAACUCAAUUAUAGAAAAACAACCCAAUCAGAAAAUGAGUAGCAUCCAUGAGGACACAGGUUUGAUCCCUGGCCAUGCUCAGUGGGUUAAGGAUAUGGAGUUGCUGUGAGCUGUGGUGUAGGUCGAAGAUGCAGUUUGGAUCUGGUGUUGCUGUGGUGUAGGCCAGCAGCUACAGCUCUGAUUCAACCCCUAGCCUGGGAACCUCCAUAUGC
rnacentral:lncRNA from 1 species